CGGUGAAACUGCGAAAGGCUCAAUAGAUCAGUGAGAAUUGGAUUGAGGAUGGAAUGCUAGAUGGAUAACCGUGGUAAUUCUAGAGCUAAUACAUGGGGAAGGGGCGACUCGCUGGCAUUGCUUGCAGUGCGGGGGAAGCCCGGCAUUUAUUAGAUAACACCGGAGCAUGCGCGAGCGUGCGGGAGGAUUCAUGAUAAUUGGCGGAUCGUAUGGCGUGAGCUGACGACGGAUCAAACAAAUGACUGCCCUAUCAGCUGUGGAUGGUAGGAUAGAGGCCUACCAUGGCGAUGACGGGUAACGGAGAAUUGGGGUUCGAUUCCGGAGAGGGAGCCUGAGAAAUGGCUGCCACAUCCAAGGAAGGCAGCAGGCGCGCAAAUUACCCAAUCCCGAGUCGGGGAGGUAGUGACAGAAAAUAACAAUGCCGGGCCUUGUGGUUUGGCAAUUGGAAUGGACUGAGAGUAAAGAGCUCGGUGAGAAACGAUU
rnacentral:rRNA from 1 species